GUGCUCACUUUGGCAACACAAAUAUUAAAUUUGGAAUGAUACAGGGCAGAUUAGUCAUAGCCCCUGAGCAAGGAUGACAUGUAAACUAGUGAAGCAUUCCUUAUUUUU